GAUGAACGCUGACAGAAUGCUUAACACAUGCAAGUCAACUUGAAUUUUGGGUUUUUAACUUAGAUUUGGGUGGCGGACGGGUGAGUAACGCGUAAAGAACUUGCCUCACAGCUAGGGACAACAUUUAGAAAUGAAUGCUAAUACCUGAUAUUAUGAUUUUAAGGCAUCUUAGAAUUAUGAAAGCUAUAAGCACUGUGAGAGAGCUUUGCGUCCCAUUAGCUAGUUGGAGAGGUAACAGCUCACCAAGGCGAUGAUGGGUAGCCGGCCUGAGAGGGUGAACGGCCACAAGGGGACUGAGACACGGCCCUUACUCCUACGGGAGGCAGCAGUGGGGAAUAUUGGACAAUGGACCGAGAGUCUGAUCCAGCAAUUCUGUGUGCACGAUGAAGUUUUUCGGAAUGUAAAGUGCUUUCAGUUGGGAAGAAAUAAAUGACGGUACCAACAGAAGAAGUGACGGCUAAAUACGUGCCAGCAGCCGCGGUAAUACGUAUGUCACGAGCGUUAUCCGGAUUUAUUGGGCGUAAAGCGCGUCUAGGUGGUUAUGUAAGUCUGAUGUGAAAAUGCAGGGCUCAACUCUGUAUUGCGUUGGAAACUGUAUAACUAGAGUACUGGAGAGGUAAGCGGAACUACAAGUGUAGAGGUGAAAUUCGUAGAUAUUUGUAGGAAUGCCGAUGGGGAAGCCAGCUUACUGGACAGAUACUGACGCUAAAGCGCGAAAGCGUGGGUAGCAAACAGG
rnacentral:rRNA from 1 species